GAUGCUGUUGAUGGGAAGCAAGCACGGAGGACAAAUUCCUCAAGUCCACUGGGAGAACUUUUUGACCACGGAUGCGAUGCACUUGCGUGCGCGUUUGAAACCUUAGCAUUUGGGAGCACCGCCAUGUGCGGAAGAUCUUCAUUCUGGUUCUGGGUACUUUCAGCUG